rnacentral:rRNA from 1 species
UAGGGAAUCUUCGGCAAUGGACGAAAGUCUGACCGAGCAACGCCGCGUGAGUGAAGAAGGUUUUCGGAUCGUAAAACUCUGUUGUUAGAGAAGAACAAGGACGUUAGUAACUGAACGUCCCUGACGGUAUCUAACCAGAAAGCCACGGCUAACUACGUGCCAGCAGCCGCGGUAAUACGUAGGUGGCAAGCGUUGUCCGGAUUUAUUGGGCGUAAAGCGAGCGCAGGCGGUUUCUUAAGUCUGAUGUGAAAGCCCCCGGCUCAACCGGGGAGGGUCAUUGGAAACUGGGAGACGUGAGUGCAGAAGAGGAGAGUGGAAUUCCAUGUGUAGCGGUGAAAUGCGUAGAUAUAUGGAGGAACACCAGUGGCGAAGGCGGCUCUCUGGUCUGUAACUGACGCUGAGGCUCGAAAGCGUGGGGAGCAAACAGG